GUCUUUAAGAAAUUAAUUUAAAGUCUAAUCUGCCCACUGAAUAUUAUUAAAGGGCUGCAGAAUUUUAACUGUACAAAGGUAGCAUAAUAAUUUGUUUUUUAAUUAAAAACUAGAAUGAAAGAUUUGAUGAAAUAUAAUCUGUUUCAAUUAAAUUUAUUAUUAAAUUUUUUAUUUAGGUAAAAAAACCUAAAUAAUUUUUAAAGACGACAAGACCCUGUAGAAUUUUAUUUAUAUAAUUAUUUAAAUUAAAUAAUUUUAUAUAAAUUUUAUUGGGGUAAUAAAAAAAUUAAUUUAAUUUUUUUUAAAAAUUACAUUUAUAAAUGAAUAAUUUAUCUUAAAUUUUAAAAUAAAAAAAUUAAUUACCUCAGGGAUAACAGCAUAAUUUUUUUUGAAAGAUCUUAUUAAUAAAAAAGAUUAU
rnacentral:rRNA from 1 species